GGAUCACGUUGGACCAGGCGCCCUUGAAGAAAGCCUUGCCGCCCUCCUGCUGCAAAAUCUUCUUCCAGCAGUCAAUGGUGCCCCGGUACAUGAUGUCGGCUGGGGCAGACGGAGGCAGGGAGGCUGCAGGUGACAGGUACAUCUUCCCAUGAGGACUCAAGACUUUCCACCCAAUUAGCAUGCUGGGCUAAUGAUCCUUUGGGCCCUCCAUGUUGACCUUGACUGGCUCGACUGAACGUAAACACUGGAGACGUCGCGGAAAACAGAUUCGUGCAUCGUGUAACCAUGCACACAACAUCUUAA